UGUGAGAUUGACAAAAUAAGUAUGUAAAAGUGUUUCAACAUAUAAAUUAUAAAAUAUAUAUACUGGCACUUUCAUGAAUUGAAAUCAAAUACAGACACUGCAUCAUGGAUAUGGAUAAUAUUAGUUAGGUAACGUCAAAUUCAGAAUAUAAUGUCACAUAAAUGUGAUGUAAACAGCUGUCAAUUCUUUAGACUGUGCAAUUUCAGCUUAAUUGGCUCUUUUUGAUUAUUGCAAUUCUUAGAAUUUAAAUUCCUUUUCUUGCAUGUAAUCUAUAAAAUAAUAAAAUAUAUAUCUACUUUGAUUGUUUUAUUUCACUGACAUGUAAAUAAAGGGUACAUUAUUAAUUAUUUUGUAAAUAAAAGGGGGAGGGUGGUACAUGUCACAUGCACCUGACUAUCACAUACUCAGGUAACACAGUACCAGAAUAUAUAUUGAUAACCAAUAUUUUUUUAAACAUAAAAUUCAAACUUAGAAAUUAUUUCGAUAUAAACAUAUAAACAUAUAGCAUAACGAGAUGUGGGGAAUUUUCUUUUCUUUUCUUCUUCUUUUUUAACAAUUUGAAAAUAGAUGAGCAUUGACUAUUGGGGCGGGUGGAAGAUUUUUUUUACUACAAUAAUUCAUAUGAAACAUGCUUUUAUGAAAGUUUUGUCAUUCCCGGCAGUGUUGUUUUUUUUUUUUUUUUUUUUUUUUUUUUAAUUUAAUAUUAACAAUUAAUGCCUACAAUGGGGAUUUACUAUAGAAGUCUUCUGAAUGAUUUUUUUUUGUAAUUCGCAUCCAAGAUAUUAUGCUUCUCAAAUAACAAUUGGUCAUACUUAAAACAUGCCCCCCCCCCUUCUCUCUCUACACAUAAUGAUAUCAAUAUUAACAUAUAUAACUUGAUUGUUGUAUUCAUGUGAUUUAUUAUGUGUACAACAACCAAUUUUUUUAAAUAAGCAAACCAAUCAGAUUUUACCAUACUGAUUUAUAGAGCUCACAAGAAAACAAGAUCUGUGGUGGAAAGGGGUAUGGACAACUGAAGAGGCGAUUUCAUGUACUACAUGGUGAAAUCCGCUUGUCACCUGAGAAGGCAUGUCAGGUUAUUUUGUCCUGUGCCAUUUUGCAUAACAUUUGCAAAGAUCGAUGCAUUCCAUGCCCACAAGAUCAUGAAGAUGAUGGUGAAGAUCAACAAGUUAAUGUACAUGUACCACACAUAUUUAACAACAAUGGCAAUGAUGGUCUGAGAUACCGACAACAGUUUGCAGAGACUCACUUUUGAGUUGCAUUGGGAGUUGUAGGCCUGCAAACUUGUAGUCAUGGAUGUUAAUGGUAGUGAAGGCUCUUGUACAGAUGCGGCGACUAGAGGGCUAGAGUUGAGAAUGAGGGGAUCCAUACCAGGAGGUCCCUCAAAGACAUUGAUUCCCCUGUGAUGAAAAGAGAUUAAUUAAAUGCUUACUUAGUAUUCUCCUUUCUAUAUCUUCUGCAGCUCUUUUGAAUUAUUAAAUUAUAUGAUUGCAUUGAAUGUUUAUUACAAUGAAUGUUAUUCUUUUUUA